rnacentral:tRNA from 1 species
GCCCCAGUGGCCUAAUGGAUAAGGCACUGGCCUCCUAAGCCAGAGUUGUGGGUUCAAGUCCCAUCUGGGGUG